UGAUUUUUUUAUUAUUUUUCACUCUUUUUUUUAUUUCAAGCAUUAUUAGAGUGAAAAGAAACUCAUUGCAACCCAUUGGCAUUAAAAUAAAACAAUUUAAUUUUUUUUGCAAAAUUUCCCAAAAAAAUCGUAAGGGGUAAGCCUUAUGAAAUUUUCGAGUGGAAAAUUUUUUUGAAAUUUUUUUCUGAUUUUUUAUUCUUUUUUUAAUUUAAAGCAUUAUUUAAGUGAAAAGAAACUUAUUGCAACAAAUUCCCAUCAAAAUAUAUCACAUUUCAAAUUUUUGCUACAUUGCUCAAAAAUGAGGAAAAUUUUACAUUUUCUCAAACAGGGUAAGGAACUUGGUUCCUCGAAUAACUUCUGGCACAGACAUCUGAGGGCAUGGCCGUCCAAGAAGAAAAUGUAGCCAUUGGUGCCAUCUAUCGACCACAGGUUAAAGAUUGGCGAUCCGUUGGAUACCGACCGAGUUAUAGGCAAAAGUUGGUGCAAAAAUGAGGAAAAUUUUUCAUUUUCUCAAACAGGGUAUGGAACUUGGUUCUUCGAAUAACUUCUGGCACAGACAUCCGAGGGCAUGGCCGUCCAAGAAGAAAAUGUAGCCAUUGGUGCCAUCUAUCGACCACAGGUUAAAGAUUGGCAAUCCGUUCGAUACCGACCGAGUUAUAGGCAAAUUUUGGUGCAAAAAUGAGGAAAAUUUUCAUUUUUUUUUAAUUUUUUGAUUUUUUUUAUUAUUUUUCACUCUUUUUUUUUAUUUCAAGCAUUAUUAGAGUGAAAAGAAACUCAUUGCAACCCAUUGGCAUUAAAAUAAAACAAUUUAAUUUUUUUUGCAAAAUUUCCCAAAAAAAUCGUAAGGGGUAAGCCUUAUGAAAUUUUCGAGUGGAAAAUUUUUGUGAAAUUUUUUUUUGAUUUUUUAUUCUUUUUUUAAUUUAAAGCACUAUUUAAGUUAAAAGAAACUUAUUGCAACAAAUUCCCAUCAAAAUAUAUCACAUUUCAAAUUUUUGCUACAUUGCUCAAAAAUGAGGAAAAUUUUACAUUUUCUCAAACAGGGUAAGGAACUUGGUUCCUCGAAUAACUUCUGGCACAGACAUCUGAGAGCAUGGCCGUCCAAGAAGAAAAUGUAGCCAUUGGUGCCAUCUAUCGACCACAGGUUAAAGAUUGGCGAUCCGUUGGAUACCGACCGAGUUAUAGGCAGAAUUUGGAGCAAAAAUGAGGAAGACUUUACAUUUUCUCAAACAGGGUAAGGGACUUGGUUCCUCGAAUAACUUCUGGCACAGACAUCUGAGAGCAUGGCCGUCCAAGAAGAAAAUGUAGCCAUUGGUGCCAUCUAUCGACCACAGGUUAAAGAUUGGCGAUCCGUUCGAUACCGACCGAGUUAUAGGCAAAAUUUGGUGCAAAAAUGAGGAAAAUUUUCAUAUUUUUUUUUAAUUUUUUGAUUUUUUUAUUAUUUUUCACUCUUUUUUUUAUUUCAAGCAUUAUUAGAGUGAAAAGAAACUCAUUGCAACCCAUUGGCAUUAAAAUAAAACAAUUUAUUUUUUUUUUGCAAAAUUUCCCAAAAAAAUCGUAAGGGGUAAGCCUUAUGGAAUUUUCGAGUGGAAAAUUUUUUUGAAAUUUUUUUCUGAUUUUUUAUUCUUUUUUUAAUUUAAAGCACUAUUUAAGUGAAAAGAAACUUAUUGCAACAAAUUCCCAUCAAAAUAUAUCACAUUUCAAAUUUUUGCUACAUUGCUCAAAAAUGAGGAAAAUUUUACAUUUUCUCAAACAGGAUAAGGAACUUGGUUCCUCGAAUAACUUCUGGCACAGACAUCUAAGGGCAUGGCUGUCCAAGAAGAAAAUGUAGCCAUUGGUGCCAUCUAUCGACCACAGGUUAAAGUUUGGCGAUCCGUUGGAUACCGACCGAGUUAUAGGCAAAAUUUGGAGCAAAAAUGAGGAAGACUUUACAUUUUCUCAAACAGGGUAAGGGACUUGGUUCCUCGAAUAACUUCUGGCACAGACAUCUGAGAGCAUAGCCGUCCAAGAAGAAAAUGUAGCCAUUGGUGCCAUCUAUCGACCACAGGUUAAAGAUUGGCGAUCCGUUCGAUACCGACCGAGUUAUAGGCAAAAUUUGGUGUAAAAAUGAGGAAAAUUUUCAUAUUUUUUUUGAAUUUUUUUAUUUUUAUUAUUUUUCACUCUUUUUUUUAUUUCAAGCAUUAUUAGAGUGAAAAGAAACUCAUUGCAACCCAUUGGCAUUAAAAUAAAACAAUUUAAUUUUUUUUGCAAAAUUUCCCAAAAAAAUCGUAAGGGGUAAGCCUUAUGAAAUUUUCGAGUGGAAAACUUUUUUGAAAUUUUUUUCUGAUUUUUUAUUCUUUUUUUAAUUUAAAGCACUAUUUAAGUGAAAAGAAACUUAUUGCAACAAAUUCCCAUCAAAAUAUAUCACAUUUCAAAUUUUUGCUACAUUGCUCAAAAAUGAGGAAAAUUUUACAUUUUCUCAAACAGGGUAAGGAACUUGGUUCCUCGAAUAACUUCUGGCACAGACAUCUGAGGGCAUGGCCGUCCAAGAAGAAAAUGUAGCCAUUGGUGCCAUCUAUCGACCACAGGUUAAAGAUUGGCGAUCCGUUGGAUACCGACCGAGUUAUAGGCAAAAGUUGGUGCAAAAAUGAGGAAAAUUUUUCAUUUUCUCAAACAGGGUAUGGAACUUGGUUCUUCGAAUAACUUCUGGCACAGACAUCCGAGGGCAUGGCCGUCCAAGAAGAAAAUGUAGCCAUUGGUGCCAUCUAUCGACCACAGGUUAAAGAUUGGCAAUCCGUUCGAUACCGACCGAGUUAUAGGCAAAUUUUGGUGCAAAAAUGAGGAAAAUUUUCAUUUUUUUUUUAAUUUUUUGAUUUUUUUCAUUAUUUUUCACCCUUUUUUUAUUGCAAGCAUUAUUAGAGUGAAAAGAAACUCAUUGCAACCCAUUGGCAUUAAAAUAAAACAAUUCUAUUUUUUUUUGCAAAAUUUCCCAAAAAAAUCGUA